rnacentral:lncRNA from 1 species
GAUCACCCUACCAUCUAACCAGAAGCAUGCAAAAGAAAAAUCAAACUAAUUUGGGACCAUCCUUUUAGCCGAUCCUUUUCAUGUCCAAUACCUCUUCCAAACAGAACCCUUGCCAAAGAAAAAACCGGGACAACUUUGUGAGUCUCACCCGAGUUUUUCAUCAACCCAUACCACAAUAAACAAAGAAAAAAAGCAAACAAAAAAUUGGCGGCUUUGUGAUUCUCACACAAGUUUUUCAUCAAUCCAUAAUCUCAAGACCGGGGAAGCUUUGCAAAUCUCAUUUGAAAUUUUCUUACCCUAACUUUCAUGGAUCCAAACCCCAGCUCAUUUUCCCAAACACCAAACUGGGGCAACUUUUGUGUAUCUCGUGUUUCACCCUGACAUUCACAUAUCACAUCUCCUUUGAGGAUUAUAUGAGGAAUGACUUGUCCAUACAAUUAUCCCAUUCUCCG